UACGAAGGGGGCUAGCGUUGUUCGGAAUUACUGGGCGUAAAGCGCACGUAGGCGGCUUUCCAAGUUGGAGGUGAAAUCCCCGGGCUUAACCCGGGAACUGCCUCCAAAACUGAAAGGCUAGAGUCCGAGAGAGGUGAGUGGAAUUUCCAGUGUAGAGGUGAAAUUCGUAGAUAUUGGAAAGAACACCAGUGGCGAAGGCGGCUCACUGGCUCGGUACUGACGCUGAGGUGCGACAGCGUGGGGAGCAAACAGG
rnacentral:rRNA from 1 species